AGCAUUAACUAAAUAGAGGCCUUACUGAGACAACAUCAGAGCCACCUGGCAUGUGGAAAUUUCUGUAUUAGAUCACAGGAUCCUCCAGUGACAACCCAACCCAACAUAAUUUUCCACCGUUGUCUUUAAAGUCCUAGAGGCUUGAGGGUGAAGUUUGUAAGUCUCCUUUCUGAUUCUACCUCUGGCCUGCUUCAUCUCAGGCUUCCCAAGGUCCAAUCCCUAUAUUAUGGUUUUUACAUUUUUCUGCAAACUUUUAAAAUACAUUUUUCUUUAAAAGGUGCAGCCUAUUCUCCUCCCCUUGAAUGUGAGCCAGACUUCUCUCUAAAGAAUAGAAUGUGGUGGAAGUGAAGCCAUGUGACUUCUGAGGCUAGAUCAUAAAAAGGAUAGCCUCUGCCUGAAUCUCUUUCUCCUGGGUCUCUCACCCUGGGGGAAGCCAGUGACCAUGUCAUGAGGACACUCAAGCAUCCUCCGAAGAGGUCCAUGAGGAGAGGAACUGGGUCUCCUUGCCAACAGCCAGCACCAUCACGCCCAUUAUAUAAGUAAGCCACCUUGGAAGUGGCUCCUCCAGCCCCAAUCAAGCCUUCAGAUGACUGCAGCCCAGCCUACACCUGGAGUGCAAUCUCCUGAGACACUACAAGCCUGAACUGCCCUGCCAAGCCUCUCCUAGAUUCCUGACCCCCACACACUGUGUUUAUUUAUUUUUUAUUAUGUAUGUUCCUUAUUUUUAUCUUAAGCUACUCAAUUUGGGGGUAAAUAGAUAUGCGGCAAUAGACAAUGAAUACACUCCAUCUCCUUGAUGUAUCUCCAUCUCCCUGAACUUAAAUGUAGCUUGGAUACCCUGCUUGCAUCAUCCUGGCUAGUCUGUCUGCUGUCCUGGGUGAAGGCAGCAGGGGAUGCCAGGUCAGGAGCAGUGCUCUGAGGACAAAGAAUUUCAGCUCCUGGAGAAAAGUUGACCCGACCUUUUAUCCUACAAAGGGCUCAGCAGAGAAGCUGCCAGUGUUGUCAAUGCUGGUGUUCUCCAAGCUUCUGUCUUCAUUGGGAGUGAGGGAAGUGCAAGAGAGAAUAUUCCUGAAAAGUAGCACCUUUCAUUUUUUAAAGUAAUAUAUUGCAUGUCAAUAUUAAGACUGAUGAAAAUCUGUUAAAAGAUUUCACAAUUGUUGUAAGAGGAAAAAAAAGCAGCAGCAGUACUGUAAGAUGUGGGGAGACAGUUUUCAAAGGAUGGCACCUUUUUCACAUACUUGCCCUUCACCAAUCAGAAAUUGAAUCCCUGCCCCUAGGCAGGCACUCUGUGAUGUUAGAACCUGAAUACACCUCUUUCCUCAUCUCUCUUCUCACUCCUGCCUGUGAUACUUAAGGGAUCUUCAACUCCCCCAUUGCUCCAAAUACUACCUGUAUUCUGAUGACUUGCCAGAAAAUAGCUCCAAGCUCAGUUCCCUACUGAGGUUGAGAUCCCUCGCAUCUCUGAUAUGGCAGACAAGGCUAGCCACAAUUUUGUCUGAGCCUCAUCUCCUGCGACCUCACCCUAAACCCCUAAGGUGGAGCCCAACUAUUAGAGCUUAUCUAUUAUUUCCUGUGGCAGUGACUGCAAAUUGCCAAUCAAAAUCCAUCUCCAUUCUUUCUUUCUAAGAGAAUCUAGCUAAAAGACCAUGAUUCCAAGCCUUUGUGAAACAGGAGGCCAUGCAAUUAAGUUCUGGCAGUGAUGUCUAAACAGAAGUGAAAUGUGAGACUUCUGAAAAGCUGUUUAAAGGAAACUGACUCAGCUGAAGGGAGGGGCCUUUGUCCUUCUCUCCCUUUCUUAUUUCUGCUGCCCAGAACUGGGAUGUGUUGGCUGGAGCUCCUGCAGCCAUUCUGGACCGUGAGAUGACCUUGAGAAUGAAAGCCAUGUGCUAAGGAUGUGGAGCAGAAAAGCGGAAUAUUAAAAUAUAUAUGGCACCAUUUUGCACCAGGUUCUGUUCAAAACGCAUUUCCUUUAUUAAAUCAUUUAAUCCUCAGAGCAGUCCUCAAAGAUAGAUACUUUUAUUAUCCUCAUUUUACAGAUGAGGAAGCAGAGAGGAAAGGUAACUUCCUCAAAAUCUCAUGGCCUGAGAAAGGACUAAAACUCAGGCCAGUGUGACUCUGGAGUCCGUGCUCUAAGCAGUCAUCUUGCAUUGCCUGGGUUCCUCAUGACUCAGGAACUACCUACCACACCAGCCCCGGGCUGCCUAGCUCUGCACUUCUCUUGUGUAUGAAAGAAAUAAACCUCUAGCUUACUUAAGUCACUGCUAUUUUGAGUUCUCUAUUGUUGGCUGCCAAGCCUAUGCCUACCUGAUACAUUCUCCAAUUGAUUUUCAUGCCUCCAGGCACUUGUUCAAACUCUUCCUUCUGCCUGGAAUGCCCUUUCCAUUGUACACUCCUCUGUUAGCACACAUCAAAUGCAGAAUAACAUCACAGCUAUUUCUUUACCCAUCUGUCUUCCAAGCUAGAUGUUCACCAUCCAGAAUGGAGGGACACUGUCUUAUAGUCUGUUCCCAUAAAAUUUAACCUGGUCUGGCACAUAAUAAGUGCUCUAUAAAUGUUCCCUGAAUUUAAUUAAAUUGGGGGAAAAUCCCAGUCUUAUACAAAAGCAGGAUAAAAUGGUUUGACAUCACAUAUGUUGGGGUGUUACUCCCCUUCCCCUUUCUCCCAACCAAGGCUACCCCAAAUCUUCUUACUUGUUUCUCGAUCCUUCCACUAAGUUUGCUUUUUGUUCCACAGUGAAAUGAAACUUACUUUUAAUGAGCACUCCGUGUAUCGUGGACAUUUCACAUGCUAUUUCAUUCUCUACAACACUGAGAAGUUUUCUAGAGAUGAGAAAACUGAGGCUCUCAGAGAGAAGGUGAUUCUCCC
rnacentral:lncRNA from 1 species